rnacentral:lncRNA from 1 species
GGAUGAAGUGUAGGAUUGCCAUCUGGAGGGCAUCCUCUUUGUUUUCAAAAUUUUCCUUCAGAAAAUUUCCACCAAUGCCUUCUUAUCUACUUCAUUCGUUGAUUGCGGAAAAUACCUUUUCAUAAGCCGACUCGGAGAAGAAUCUUCAUAUUUGAAAUCAUCAACAUUAUCAAAAUAGUUUAAGCCAGUUAUCAAAGCAAAUUCAUAGAUGAAAAAUCUAAGAAUCGGGCCUUUGAAAAACAUAUGUAUCUCUUCUUGAUUUGGUUGCUCGAUAUCGAGCAUAAGAAGAUAUUUUAUUAUUUGUCCAAUAUAAUUGGAAAGAGGUAUGUUGAGAAAACAUCCAAAAAUAGUCUUCUCAAAUAAGUGUCAAAACUUCUUGACCGACAACUUCUUUAAUUUCAUCCUUAAAUCUUGAAUUGCAUGAACUUACAAAUCUAAGAGGAUGAGUUGGAAUUUCCUUUCUAACAUAACUCAAUUCCUAAAAAUAAAAAGAAACAAUAAUGAUAAAAUUAGUCGAGAUGCAACAACUCUACAUUAAGACGGUACAAUAAAAAUAAAAACUCUAAGAACAUCAUACUUUAUGUACAAGUUAAUAUAACAUGUAUGUAUGUAGGUAUAAACUUGUAUCUUUUGUAAUACGACUUUCAAUAACAAUUAAAUAACACUAGAUACAUUUAAAGGCAUUAACAGUUAGUCCCAGAUAUAAGUUAACACAACAUGUAUCUAUGAAGUCAUAACUUAUAUCUCUUACAAUAAGACUUUCAGUAAAAUUUAAACACUAAUAGAUACAUAUCAAAGCAUUAACAACAACUCACUGAUACAAGUCAACACAACAUGUAUCUAUGAUAAACUUGUAUCUUUGGUAAUACAACUUUCAAUACCAAUUAAACAACACUAGAUACAAUUCAAGGUAUUAACAGUUAGUCACAGAUACAAGUUAACACAACAUAUAUCUAUGAAGUCAUAACUUGUAUCUCUUAUAAUAAAACUUUCAGUAAAAUUUAAACACCAAUAGAUACAUAUCAAAGCAUUCACAACAACUCUCAGAUACAAGUCAACAUAACAUGUAUCUAUGUACAUAAAAACUUGUAUCUUUUGUUAUAAUAAUUUCAAUAUAACAAAAAAUCACAAGACACAUAUAAAAUUAGCUUCAUUCUUCAGAUAAACAAUGAAUUUCUAAAUGUAUCACCCAAGUCAAAAUAUGUAUCUCAGUAUAAUAUUCAACAUAUCUGAACAUGCAAUUACCUUAGGAAGCUCAUCUCUACAAAUUUCUUCGACAAUUCUUCUUCUUUUGGCGGGAGCUUUACUUGCAAGACUGUUGGAUCCUCUUUUCUUAGAACUACCUUCUUUUUUCUUGUCCUUCUUAGCAUGUUUUGCUGUAAUUUCUUCAUUGUUUGGGGAUCGUUUCUAUGUUUUGAUCUAUUUUCAUCAAAACCAUCAAAUUCAUAGUCAAAAUCUCCUAGAACAAAGUUUACAACUUCUUGAGAUUCUUUGAUACUUUCUAAUUGAGAAAUCUCAAGACUAAAAGAAGGUCCAGAAUCUCUAUUCAUAAUGAUAAUUCAAACAAUGAAGCAUAAAAAAAGUAGAAUCGAAGAAAUUGCUCAACCAAAACACUAAAAUUUCACAUAGCUUUACUUGCGCCAAAAAUUUAAAAAAAAAAAUGUAAAAAAGGAAUAGAAUAAAUUAAAACUGAUUUUAUGGGGGAAAAUUACCUUGAUUGAAAGUUUUGAAUUAGAUAGAGAAGAUGGAUAGAAACCGCACCAGAUUUUGCGGCGUACAAAGAGGAGAUGUGGAUUAAUUUUGGUAAAGAGCCGGCUUGUUAGUUGUAGGUUUAACUUGUAUCACAAAUUUACCAAAAAAUAUGAAAUGUUGGGAUUUAAGUAAUUUUUUAGAAGUGCGGGGAUUUUUAGAAGUUUAGAAACUUAAGUUGUUUAUUUAGGUAAUUUUUUCUAAUCUAUAUCUAUAUAAUCUAUAUAUCUAUAUGUCUAUAUAAUAUAUUAAAAGUGUGAUGAUUCUUUAAAAAGUGAUUUGAACUUUUUAUCCUUCAUUAAAAGACUUCUCUUAAGAUAAAAUCGUCUUUUGACUUUUUUAAAAAAAUAUUUCUAUGCUAUUAAAUAUCAAAUUAAAUUAUUUAAUUAUAUAAAUUUGCUAAAAUAUUAAUUAGUCUCUUUUUUGGUUGAUGAGUCCACUACAACAAUUUUUGGAACAAAAGAUCCCUACUACUAUAUAAAAACUAUUGUCUGUGAGAGUGUAGAGUACAAAGUCAAUUUUCUUUCUUUUUUUAUUUAUGAAUAUCCUUUUUGCUUCUUUGUAGCGUUAUGCGUUUUUCUUUUAAAUUUAGUUAUUUUUCUUUACACUUUAGAGUUGCUUUUAUACCAUCAAUCUAAGUUCUUGCUUGAAGUAUUUUGUGGUUAGUCUGCUUUGGGUGAUAGUUUUCUUUAUGUUUAUUACAUCUUACUCGUCAGUUUUGUCCUAAUAACUUUGAUUCAAUUUUCAGGUUUUCAUCGACUAAUAAAACAAGAAUCAUUUAAUGGCUUAUUGUAACAUGGAACAAGAGAAGUUUAAUGGCUGAGUAAGCCAAUAAUCAACAUCCAACGUGAGUAAAUUUUAUGCAUGUUUUCUUUUUCAGCUAAUUAUAAUUUUCAUGUAAAGAUUGUUAUGGACUGAUAAUUACUACUCCAUUCUUAGUCAGUUUUCUUAAGCCCAAAGUAUCCUGAACAAUUUUGAAUCUAUCGAUCCCCACCGGACUUUAUCCAAAAUAAGUUAUCAACAGUUUUUCUUUCCUUGUUCCUCUUAGUUAAUUAUAAAACCUUUUCAGAUGAGCCAAAGGAUCACCAUGGCCCUCGUACAUGUCUAACUUUAGUGUUUUGAACUCUAAAAGCAAGUGAACAUUAUGAAACAUGAACAAAUCCUCCUAAGGAACUCUUUUUUUUCUCUCCAAGUACUUGCAUGUACUUAUAUUAUACUCCAAACUUCUCAUCUUCCUAGUCAUUUCUUCUUAUUCCUCAUUUCUAACAGUCUACAUCACCUCAUAUCAGACCAUAUACCAUUUUCGCGUGUCAUCUUGCCUGUUCUUUGAACCUAGUAUUGUAUUGGUGAGAUGUCAAUUUAGCCACAAAUCAACCACCUCAAUAUUAUUUUGAUUUUUGUGAUAGCAAAUAUGUCAAAACUUGAUAAUUUCAAAAAAAAUUCUUAAGAAUAUCACCGAGCCCGGCAUGGGUUGCCUACGUAUCUCAUCAAGGUGAGAAUCAGGUGCGCAUAGUUCUUGAAAUAUAGGUCGUACAAAACUCAGCCUCAAGACCCCUAAAGGUUCAGGGUUGUUAAGAUUUAUAUAUACUUUUUAUUUUGUAAAAACUUAGCCUCAUGAUCCCUAAAGAUUCAAGGCUAUUAAGAUAUAUACAAAUAUACAAAUUAGAUUUGAGGAUUAGAAAAAUAAUUAUGAAAGUAAUCAUUAUUUUAAAAUAUUCCCCAAUAAAUCUAUGAAUAAUUUUUUAAAAAAUAGGGCCGUAUCCUGGAAAGGACUUCCUGCGUAUCCAACUAAAGAGUGAGAAUCAGACCCUCGUAGUUCAUGAAGACCAUAAGACUAUGCUGCUGGAUAAGAAAAAAUUCUUUCUUUUAAAAAUAAAUUAUUUCUUUGAAAAAUGAUUCACUAAAUUUGAGGAUGAUUUAACCUCUUGCAUUUUAAAGUUGCCUAAAGUCGAUCAACAAACAAAUAACCUUCCAAAUAAAUGUCAAAGAGUCGUAGGAUGCACAUAUUGAUCUUUAUAAAGUAGGUCACCUGUCCUAGACAGACCCGACUCCUAUGUCGAGUCCCGCUAAGUUAAAGGCAUAUGAUACAAAUAAAGCGAAACCUAAUAGGGAUAACCAAAUUCUGAGUUUUCAGUUCUUCUAAGUUUAAGCCUAAUAGGAAUAGGUAUCUAGAUUGGCUUACUCGAGCGGACACUCGAGUCGGGGAGGGACAAAUUGUUCGAUAGAAGGGCUACACCGAUUUCUUUGCCAAUCCGAACCCCACCUAACACGACUAUAAUCCUUCACCAGGUGCCUUGACACUUCGACUAUCUCAAAAAGAAAGUAGGAUGCAUGCGAUGCAUUCCUUCUAUCCUAUUUCAGAGACUUGGAGGGGGUGCGCAAAAGAAAAUAGUUUAUAACAUAGUUCAACAAUAUCAAAGUAGUAAAUGAGCGACAAGUAGCACAUAAAUCCAACAAACACAAUAUCAAAAUAAUUAAAACAAGUAAAGUCAAUAUCAAAAGCUCGAAUUCUUAUAUUGUUCCCGGCAGAGUCGUCAUAGAUGUCACACCCCUCUCUGUAGUUCAUGAAGACCAUAAGACUAUGCUGCUGGAUAAGAAAAAAUUCUUUCUUUUAAAAAUAAAUUAUUUCUUUGAAAAAUGAUUCACUAAAUUUGAGGAUGAUUUAACCUCUUGCAUUUUAAAGUUGCCUAAAGUCGAUCAACAAACAAAUAACCUUCCAAAUAAAUGUCAAAGAGUCGUAGGAUGCACAUAUUGAUCUUUAUAAAGUAGGUCACCUGUCCUAGACAGACCCGACUCCUAUGUCGAGUCCCGCUAAGUCAAAUGCAUAUGAUGCAAAUAAAGCGAAACCUAAUAGGGAUAACCAGAUUCUGAGUUUUCAGUUCUUCUAAGUUUAAGCCUAAUAGGAAUAGGUGUCUAGAUUGGCUUACCCGAGCGGACACUCGAGUCGAGGAGGGACAAAUUGUUCGGUAGAAGGGCUACACCGAUUUCGUUGUCAAUCCGAACCCCACCUAACACGACUAUAAUCCUUCACCAGGUGCCUUGACACUUCGGCUAUCUCAAAAAGAAAGUAGGAUGCAUGCGCUGCAUUCCUUCUAUCCUAUUUCAGAGACUUGGAGGGGGUGCGCAAGAGAAAAUAGAUUAUAAUACAGUUCAACAAUAUCAAAGUAGUAAAUGAGCGACAAGUAGCACAUAAGGCCAACAAACACAAUAUCAAAAUAAUUAAAGCAAGUAAAGUCAAUAUCAAAAGCUUGAAUUCUUAUAUUGUUCCCGGCAGAGUCGUCAUAGAUGUCACACCCCUUUUUCUCUUGAGAGAGUCAAGUCGAAGAAUUUUUCCAAUUUAAGUGACGAUUUUGAAUAGGGAUUAGUUUAUUUACAGAGUCGCCACUUGGAAUUGAGUUAUGGUGUUCUAAGUCACCUUUUUGAAUCCCCAAUCAAAAGGAAUUGACUCUUUAUUAUGGUCUGCGAAAACAGAAGGUCAGGUAAGAAAUUCUGUUGAUCGAGGGGAAGGUGUGAGGUACCCCUCGAGUCCCGUGGUUCUAGCACGGUCGCUUUUAUUGACUUAUCUUGACUUAAAGUAUUUUGAUGAAUUAUUUUAAAACCUAAAUUUACUCAUUUUUAAUAUACUAAGACUAUUUAAAAACUCUUGUAUUAAAUCGAUAAAAAGUUAAUUUUAGGAAAGUAUUAAAUAAAUCGGUGAAAGUUAAUUCUAGAAAAAUAUUUACCGAGGUGCAUUGUUGCAUCCUUGAAUUUUAAAUGUCUCAGAAAGAUGCAUAUGCCACAUUCUUAAUUGAGACGAAUAUUUUAAAUGUGCCUAAAAUUUAUCUAGCGUUAAAAUGCAUUUGUUUCGUCUCUUGUAAACUCGAGACAAUUUUAUCUUAUUCAAUUUUUUUUUUCUCUUUAUUUUGCAACGACUUUUAGAUUAUUCCGCAACUCACCUCGCUCCCUCACAAAUGAGUUUUUCCUCUCUUUUCUUUUAUCAAUAGCAACGAAUCUUUCUCACAUUAAUUUUUCGAUUAGGAGUUAAGCACAUCCAAAUUCAUAAGUUAUUAUUUAUUUAUUUUUAGAACGAAAUGAUUAUUGCAACAACAACUUCAAAGUAUGCACUAGCUUUACAAGUAUUUUUAAAUAGCAUGUAAAAUUUAUCAAAUAAAACAUAUAGGAAGAAUUAUUUACACUAGUACAUUCUUUAUUACUAAAACAAAGCCAUGCAUCUAAUAAAUUAAUAAAAAUGAAAUACAUUCCUUUAAUCCCACCAAAGUUAACCCACCAGCUAACAAAUCUUAUAUUAACAAUAACUAAAUUCCCACUACAAUUCCUUUGCUUGUUUUAGCACAACAUAUAAUAAAUAGUAGCACUUCUAUUCCACGAUAGGUAAAUAAAAUUUAGUCCAUAGAGGUGAAAAUAUUGUUUGAGUAGCCACAUAAUGCAUGGGCAAGAGAAAUUAAACAUCAAUCAAUUUUCAAAAGAAUGAGUAAUUCUCAAUUAGAAAAAGAAAAAUCACUAAAAGUGAAUUAAGUCCAAACUCAACCCUAGUCAUAAUUCAUUUAUUACCUCCCAUUAUUUAUUUUUUAUACUCCAAUUAUUGGUUAAACUUAGCCACCAACUACAGCCUACGUGUAAAACAAGCAUGUUGCAGUACAUGACUAGUUUGCAAUUUUAAUUGCAAUUCACCCAAACAACAUGUGUAAUUGUCCCCUCACUUCUACAUCAAUUUUUCAUGUAUGUAAUCCACUAUUUGAGCCUUAAUCCAUUGUUUUGUCAUUAAACAAUUAGGAUGCUAGGGAUUAUUUUAAACCUAUAUUUUUAAAAAAUCUGCAUAACUAAAUCCAUGCUAACCUAUGAACAACUCAACUAUUUAAUAUGCUAAUUCCAAGUAACGUUAUAACACACAUAAAACAGGACACAUAACAAAAUAAGUAAACUAUUAAAUCAUAAUACAAAACUUCCUUUACAUAUGCUGAUUCACAACUCAAAGUAACAUAAUCACAUAAACUACUUUAUUCAUGCUUUGGAUUCACAACAAUACUUAUAAAAGUAAAUAGAAAGGAACUGAAUAAGAACAAACCAAGGCGUAAAAGCAAGAAUGUCGUCACCGGUAACUCGAACGAAACUCCGAAUUCUGAACCUGAUUUUUUUUUCUCUUUCUUUUUCUUUCUCUCUGUUUCUGCUUUCCUUCUUCUUAUUUUUCACUCUGUUUUUUCCUUCUUUUCCUGUUUUUUCUCUGUCAUUUUCCGUCUAUGGUUUUCCCUCAAUUUUAGUCUGUUUUUCUGAUAAGGAUCGUACGUAUUUUGGGGAAGUCAGGAAUUUAUACGCUGAUGGGGAAAGAGGUUGAGGGAAGUUGGGAUAUAGAGAGGAUAGGGUAGUUGAG